rnacentral:rRNA from 1 species
GACGAACGCUGGCGGCGUGCCUAAUACAUGCAAGUAGGACGCACAGUUUAUACCGUAGCUUGCUACACCAUAGACUGUGAGUUGCGAACGGGUGAGUAACGCGUAGGUAACCUGCCUAUUAGAGGGGGAUAACUAUUGGAAACGAUAGCUAAUACCGCAUAACAGUAUGUAACACAUGUUAGAUGCUUGAAAGAUGCAAUUGCAUCGCUAGUAGAUGGACCUGCGUUGUAUUAGCUAGUAGGUAGGGUAAUGGCCUACCUAGGCGACGAUACAUAGCCGACCUGAGAGGGUGAUCGGCCACACUGGGACUGAGACACGGCCCAGACUCCUACGGGAGGCAGCAGUAGGGAAUCUUCGGCAAUGGGGGGAACCCUGACCGAGCAACGCCGCGUGAGUGAAGAAGGUUUUCGGAUCGUAAAGCUCUGUUGUUAAGGAAGAACGAGUGUGAGAAUGGAAAGUUCAUACUGUGACGGUACUUAACCAGAAAGGGACGGCUAACUACGUGCCAGCAGCCGCGGUAAUACGUAGGUCCCGAGCGUUGUCCGGAUUUAUUGGGCGUAAAGCGAGCGCAGGCGGUUAGAAAAGUCUGAAGUGAAAGGCAGUGGCUCAACCAUUGUAGGCUUUGGAAACUGUUUAACUUGAGUGCAGAAGGGGGGAGUGGAAUUCCAUGUGUAGCGGUGAAAUGCGUAGAUAUAUGGAGGAACACCGGUGGCGAAAGCGGCUCUCUGGUCUGUAACUGACGCUGAGGCUCGAAAGCGUGGGGAGCGAACAGG